GACGAACGCUGGCGGCGCGCCUAACACAUGCAAGUCGAACGAGCGAGAGAGAGCUUGCUUUCUCGAGCGAGUGGCGAACGGGUGAGUAACGCGUGAGGAACCUGCCUCAAAGAGGGGGACAACAGUUGGAAACGACUGCUAAUACCGCAUAAGCCCACGACCCGGCAUCGGGUUGAGGGAAAAGGAGCAAUCCGCUUUGAGAUGGCCUCGCGUCCGAUUAGCUAGUUGGUGAGGUAAUGGCCCACCAAGGCAACGAUCGGUAGCCGGACUGAGAGGUUGAACGGCCACAUUGGGACUGAGACACGGCCCAGACUCCUACGGGAGGCAGCAGUGGGGAAUAUUGCACAAUGGGGGAAACCCUGAUGCAGCAACGCCGCGUGAGUGAAGAAGUAUUUCGGUAUGUAAAGCUCAUCAGCAGGGAAGAAAAUGACGGUACCUGACUAAGAAGCCCCGGCUAACUACGUG
rnacentral:rRNA from 1 species